CAGCACGUCUUCGGAUGGUGGCGACCGGCAAACGGGUGCGUAACACGUACGCAACCUUCCCGUUACAGUGGGAUAGCCCAGGGAAACUUGGAUUAAUACCACAUAUUAUGGUUGAGAGGCAUCUCUUGGUCAUCAAAGAAUUUCGGUAACGGACGGGCGUGCGUUUGAUUAGGUAGUUGGCGGGGUAACGGCCCACCAAGCCUACGAUCAAUAGCUGAUGUGAGAGCAUGAUCAGCCACACGGGCACUAAGACACGGGCCCGACUCCUACGGGAGGCAGCAGUAAGGAAUAUUGGGCAAUGGACGAAAGUCUGACCCAGCCAUGCCGCGUGAAGGAUGACGGCCCUACGGGUUGUAAACUUCUUUUCUCUGGGGCGAAAACCUCUCAUUCUUGAGAAUUUGACAGUACCAGAGGAAUAAGCACCGGCUAACUCCGUGCCAGCAGCCGCGGUAAUACGGAGGGUGCAAGCGUUAUCCGGAUUCACUGGGUUUAAAGGGUGCGU
rnacentral:rRNA from 1 species